ensembl:lncRNA
GGAUGCGAGCGGCUGCGUCUCCCGCGUCUCUCAGCCCCGGGCAGUGUUUUCUGUAGAAGGGCCGUGGACGAGGGAUGCCCAUGCUCUCCGCGAACAUCCCUGGCCGGGUUCCCUUGAGAUUAAAGAGCCCAGCCCCUGGCGGGACCCUCAGGCCCUGGCGCCCUCCCUGAGCGGCCUGCGGAUCCUCGUUUUUAGCAUCGUUUUACCGGGGCCCGAGCCGGCCUGCCCAUCUCCCCAGUUCGCCUGGGACUCCAGUUCUGUUUGCAAAGGAGCCGCAGACAUGCGGCCACUUGAAUUCCUUUGGUGAUGGUGCUUUAGCAGAGGACUAAUGCACGUCAGAGUUUUGCACAAAAAGCACACCGUAUGGGCGUCGCCGGUGGCUCCGUGGUAAAGACUCCGCCGGCCGAUGCCGGAGACACGGGCUGGAUCCCCGACCCGGGAAGACCACAAGCUGAGGAGCAGCUAAGCCUCCUGACAACCGCUGAGCCUCUGCUCUCGAGCCCGGGAGUUGCGACUACUGAGUUCGCGUGCUGCAGCUGCGGAGCCCAGGUACCACAGCUACCGAAGCCCGGGUCCCAGAGCCCCAGCUCUGCAAGGAGAGAAGCCGCUGCCACGAGAAGCCGACGCCCCAACGACUCGAGUGCAGCCCCUGCUCACCGCGACUGGAGAAAGCCUGUGUGCUGCAAGGAAGACGGCGCACAGCCUAAAGUGAAAAAACAUCCUUUUCUUGGUGAAGCACCACUGUGGGAUUGCAAAGUCCCAGGACCAAGACUUUUUUAACUUUUUAUUUUGUAUCGGGGUAUAGCCGAUUCACAAACAAUACUGUGAUCAUUUCAGGUGAAUAGUGAAGGGACUCAGCCAUACAUAUACCUGUAUCCAUUCUCCCCCAAACUCCCCUCCCAUUCUGACUGCCUCAUAACAUUGAGCAGAGUUCCCUGUGCUGUACAGGAGGUCCUUGUUGGUUAUCCAUUUUAAAUAUAGCAGUGUGUACAUGUCCAAGACUUUCAUGUGUCUCUUUCCAGUGAAGUGGCUGAAGGUCUGGAGCUGAAGUUGCAAACGCCAUAGCAUCCUUGACUCUCAAGUCCAGGUUGAUAAAGAUCCGAAAGGCCCUCUGGGUCAGCCUUCUGCGUCAUGUGGAAGUCCCUGCUACAGACCUUUGUGUGGGAGUCACAGGUCUCUGUACCUGUCUAGCAGAGCCCACUGGGGGCUUAGUCUCUAAUUAAAACACCUCUCUCACACUAAAUCGGAGAAGGUGAUGGCACCCCACUCCAGUACUCUUGCUUGGAAAACCCAUGGAUGGAGGAGCCUGGUGGGCUGCAGUCUGUGGGGUCGCUAAGAGUCGGACACGACUGAGCGACUUCACUUUCACUUUUCACUUUCAUGCAUUGGAGAAGGAAAUGGCAACCCACUCCAGUGUUCUUUCCUGGAGAAUUCCAGGGACGGUGGAGCCUGGUGGGCUGCCGACUAUGGGGUCACACAGAGUCGGACACGACUGAAGUGACUUAGCAGCAGCUCACACUAAAUGGGAUAUUAUCUCCAGUUUCUUCUUCUCCCUACUUGUUCAGCCAGGUACGCUGCCAGGCUCAUGGGAUGUCAAGUCAAGUCAAUUUCAGGAUUUGUUCUUCUUUAUUGUUUAACGUUUAGUGUGCAUAGUAUUAGUUGCUCAGUCGUGUCCGACUCUUUGUGACCCCAUGGACUGUAGCCCGCCAGGCCCCUCUGUCCAUGGACUUCUCAGGCAAGAAUAGUGCAGUGGGCUGCCAUUUCCUUCUCCAGGUGAUCUUCCCAACCCAGGGAUCAAACCCAGGUCUCCUGCAUUGCAGGCAGAUUCUUUACCAUCUGAGCCACCAAGGAAGGCCCCCCCCCCCCAAUAAAUAAAUACAUGUUUUUUAUAAUAUUUUUUAAUUGGAGGAUAACUGCUUUACAACACUUCUGUGGUAUAACAGCUGCGUUACUUCUGUGGUAUCACACCGUGAAACAGCUCUAUGUAUGCCUAUAUCCCCUCCCUCCAGAGCCUCCCCUCCCUUCCCCCUACCCACCCC